rnacentral:rRNA from 1 species
AGUGAACGCUGGCGGUAGGCCUAACACAUGCAAGUCGAACGGCAGCACAGAGGAGCUUGCUCCUUGGGUGGCGAGUGGCGGACGGGUGAGGAAUACAUCGGAAUCUACUCUGUCGUGGGGGAUAACGUAGGGAAACUUACGCUAAUACCGCAUACGACCUACGGGUGAAAGCAGGGGACCUUCGGGCCUUGCGCGAUUGAAUGAGCCGAUGUCGGAUUAGCUAGUUGGCGGGGUAAAGGCCCACCAAGGCGACGAUCCGUAGCUGGUCUGAGAGGAUGAUCAGCCACACUGGAACUGAGACACGGUCCAGACUCCUACGGGAGGCAGCAGUGGGGAAUAUUGGACAAUGGGCGCAAGCCUGAUCCAGCCAUACCGCGUGGGUGAAGAAGGCCUUCGGGUUGUAAAGCCCUUUUGUUGGGAAAGAAAUCCAUCUGGUUAAUACCCUGGGGUCAUGACGGUACCGUAAGAAUAAGCACCGGCUAACUACGUGCCAGCCGCCGCCGUAA